GCGGGGCCACGCGGCGCAUCCGCGCAGCCAGUGCCUGUGAAGUUAAAACAGCCCGAACUCUUAGUGCCCGAGAGUGGAUUGCAUGCCAAUUCUCCAAGGCAAGAUCCCUAAAUACAUAUAUUUACAGUAACUCAUGGUCUGGUCGCAAGGAACACGUUGUUUAUUCACUGAAACAGCACGAGUUCAGUGUCCUUACGCUACAGGAUACAGGAUAGGAAGGUUCCCUAGCGGCGUCCCUGUAAUGAAUGAUCCAAGAGUAACACCACCACAACCUGCGAGGAAGGCACAGUGGUUUCGGCACAGAGGUUUGUGCCCGUCCCUUCAGUCCGGGAAUUCCGAAGCGCCGGUGUCCACCGGCGUGACCGUGGAUCGGGGCGUGCUCCUGCGAGUCCGGCGAGUUCGUGUCCACCGCCUGGCCGCCCGCCCCAGAAACCUGGCUCCGGGAGAUGGGUCCUGCCUUCCAGUGGGCAGAAGGAAAGGAUGCCAGCAAAAAUGGCUAAUCCUCUUCCAGCUGCAGUAAAUUGACGACUGGCCAAAGCCAAGCGAAACCCGCUGCAGUUAAAAAGAUUUUAGCUUCACGUCUGGGGCUGAGAAUGGAGCGGCAGUAUAUAAAACGACCUGUGGAUCAAUGGAAAGGAGAUCGUAGUGUCUCCGAAUAUUAAUACGUUUAUACCAACUAUGUCCAAACUCCUAUGGCGUCCAAGUGGUUGCAAUGGCACCCAUGUCUUGGGUCAGUCCUGUGGCCAGUCCUGUGGCCAUAUUAAAGGAGAUAUCUUGACUGAGGAGGAUCACAGAGUAGUAAGGAGCAUAAGGAAGGAAGGACAGAAACUCCAACAGACCAAGUUCCUGAACAGUGUCCUGAGCUCCAGGCAGGGCUCUUUUUGGUUAGGAAAAGAGAAGACUCACUGAGCUCCUAGAGAAAUGAAGAGCUGGGUGUUGGCCUGGUCAGGGCUUCAGUGUCAAAUAUCUUCCUGUUGGAAGAUAGGAAACAGGAAGCAACCUGUUGGAAAGAUCGACCUGGGAUUUGUAGUGUCAUCAGCCACCUGGUUCCACACUACAAAGAUGCAGAGGACACCGGACCACCAGACCACUGUACUGGGUAUUUACUGUAUAUUGUACUGCUUACCAUCCACUAUGAUGUCACAGAAAGCUCAAGGAAGGGAUAUCAUCCAGACUCAGUAAAUUCACAACUUGUUUUUCCCAUAAUAUGGGUAUGAAUGAGUGUAAUAAAUAAAAAAGUAUUUUAAAUGGUGUUAAUUUGAACCAACGUAAAUUGCAGAAAUCUUUCCAAAAGCUGUUUUCUUAAAGUUCCUAGUAUUUCCUCCCAUGUUUAGGAUAAGCAUACCUGCUUCUCUUUCUUUCUCUCCAUUGUCUUCUGAGAAAUGCCUAAAAUCCACAAAAGUUGAAUACACUUUAUGGUUUAUUCCUCUUCUCUUCUACUUUGAUUCUCAAUCCAUUGAGCUUAGAUUGUAGCCAAUGUAUAAAUCAAUAGGUUGUAAAUGCAAUUUACAUAGAUUAUCCUGUUGUUUUUUGGUUAUAUGGUCAAGUGUGGGCAAAGUUCAAUAGGUUCCAUUUUUUUGUUCAGUGUGAAAUACCAGAACACCAAAAGCUCUAGAAGAUUCUUAAGGAGAUAUGUAAAUCUUUGAAGAAGAUACAUGAGUACAUGUCAUACUGUUGAGCCAAUGAAAGUACAUAAAUCACAGCUGGAGAGAGUUUCUUUAAUUAGAGAAUGUCCAAUUUACCACAUGGAGAAAAGUAUCUCCUAAGUUUCUUCAUGCCUUCUCUUGGGACUCUUUGGAAUAACAAAGUAACUACUUUAUUUAAGGGAUUUUCCCUUUUAAGACCCUGCUAUUCUAGUUUCUAGAUAAUUUCAUAUUCUUGAUGAAUGUUGAUUUGUCUCUGUUAUGGCUUGUAUCUAGAUGUCCUCCAAAAGCCUCAUGAGGUCAUAGGUGGAGAGUAUCAAAGGUGGCUGGAUUAGGGUGUGUGAUAGGAUUAAGGCUGAGAUGUUGGGAUUAACGGUGCCCCACCCUGGGUGUGGGUGGCACCACCCAAAAGAUGGGUAGCCUGGUUAGAAUAUAAAGGAACAGAAAGAAGUUGCUUUGCUAUUUUGCUGCUUUGCUGCCUUCUACCUGCCCUGCUUUGCCAUGGACUAUUUCUUCUCUGUGAUGCCACUCUGCCAUGCCACCCUGUCUUGGACCCAGCUGACAAUGUACUGAAAUGUCUACAAACUGUGAGCUGAAAUAAACUUUUCUGCCUUUAACUCUGGGUGUUUGAUAUUUUGUCUCAGCAAUGAGAAAAAUAACUAAGACACAUUCCAAAUGAAUAAGUAGCUAUCUUUCCAAUUUCAUUUAAUAAGAGAAUUUGAAAUCUCUUC
ensembl:lncRNA